GCCAUGCAUGUCUCAGUACAUGCCUAAUUAAGGUGAAACCGCGAAUGGCUCAUUAAAUCAGUUAUGGUUCCUUAGAUCGUACCCACAUUUACUUGGAUAACUGUGGUAAUUCUAGAGCUAAUACAUGCAAACUAGAAUUCCGACCAGAGAUGGAAGGAAUGCUUUUAUUAGAUCAAAACCAAUCGGUGGUAUAUUUUAUUAUAUAUCCAUCGUUAAUUUUGAUGACUCUGAAUAACUUUGUGCUGAUCGCAUGGUCUUGUACCGGCGACGAAUCUUUCAAAUGUCUGCCUUAUCAACUGUCGAUGGUAGGUUCUGCGCCUACCAUGGUUGUAACGGGUAACGGGGAAUCAGGGUUCGAUUCCGGAGAGGGAGCCUGAGAAACGGCUACCACAUCCAAGGAAGGCAGCAGGCGCGCAAAUUACCCACUCCCGGCACGGGGAGGUAGUGACGAAAAAUAACGAUACGGGACUCAUCCGAGGCCCCGUAAUCGGAAUGAGUACACUUUAAAUCCUUUAACGAGGAUCCAUUGGAGGGCAAGUCUGGUGCCAGCAGCCGCGGUAAUUCCAGCUCCAAUAGCGUAUAUUAAAGUUGUUGCGGUUAAAAAGCUCGUAGUUGAAUUUGUGUGCCACGCUGUCGGUUCAUCGCUCGCGAUGUUUAACUGGCAUGAUUGUGGGACGUCCUACCGGUGGAUUUAGCUAUAUAUAUUAAAAUUUAUUUUAAUAUAUUUAGCGAUCCAGUUUAUAUCCCGUCGCGGUGCUCUUUAUUGAGUGUCGAGGUGGGCCGGUACGUUUACUUUGAACAAAUUAGAGUGCUUAAAGCAGGCUUUUUUUGCCUGAAUACUGUGUGCAUGGAAUAAUAGAAUAGGACCUCGGUUCUAUUUUGUUGGUUUUCGGAACCCCGAGGUAAUGAUUAAUAGGGACAGAUG
rnacentral:rRNA from 1 species